rnacentral:SRP_RNA from 1 species
GCCGGGCACAGUGGCAUGCAUCUGUAGUCCCUGUAGCCACCGGGAGGCUAAGGCAGGAGGAUCACUUGAGCCCAGAAGUUUUGGGCUGCAGUGCGCUGUGCCGAUUGGGUGUCCCACUAAGUUCGGCACCAAUAUGGUGACCGCCCCCGGGAGGUUGCCUGAGGAUGGGUGAACCAGACCAGGUCAGAAACAGAGCAGGUCAAAACUCCCAUGCUGAUCAGGAGUGGGAUCAUGCCUGCAUGACCCCCUCAGCUGCUCUCUUCAUCUAUGAGGGAGUUGUCUGAAU